AUGAGUCCGGUCAAGACGGUGGGAGGCAAUGCCGGAAAAGUUGCCUUGGAUGAAGAUCCUGAUACGAUGACUCUUGACAUGGGUGAGGCUAAUAAGAAGCUUCGCAUCACUAGCGAUGGUAUACAACAAUUAUUUGGGUUCCCUCGUGGUGGUCGUUCUGCGCCAAGGCCGUCAGAGGACGGAUAUGAUGACGCUCUGAUGAAGUUAAGAUCGGAGCUAGACAUUAGCAGGAACAAAGAUAUCAAGACAAAGGAUUUGAGGAAUAAGCUCAAGGUGCUCGUCAAGGAUCCUAGCAAAGAUGACCUUGCUCUGAAAGUGUUCUUCAUUAUUGUGUUUAUGAAGGUUGUGUUGCCUAGUGCCGCCCCGCGUGUUUCCAGAGAGGCAGCAAUGUUUGAGGGCCUCGUCUUUGAGGACAUGGCUAAUAUGGAUUAUUGUCAGCUGAUGGUUGUUGAGCUUAGAAGGGCCAUUGUCAAGUACCAAGAUGGUGUUACCAUGGGGAAGGCAAUCACAUGCUGUGCUAUAGGGCCUGUACUAAUGUACCUUGACUGCCUUAUCCGUGGCAAGACUGCGGAGCCUGACAUGCGAGUCCCCCGCAUAUGUUUCAUGGAUCCUGUCAAGCAUUCUGAUCUGGUUGAUGCAGAUUUGAUAAAAAAAGCCAAUGCAGAUCCAAAGACUUGGGUGUUUGGGAAGCUUCCGUGGAAAACUCAAGAGGAGGUUGUUUUUUCCGAGUGUAUAAACGGCCAGUCCUGGAGAUGCCGUCGUCUCAGGUUCCCAAGUUUUCAUCUCUGCACGAUGAGUUGA
rnacentral:rRNA from 1 species